GACGAACGCUGGCGGCGUGCUUAACACAUGCAAGUCGAACGGAAAGGCCCCUUUGUGGGUACUCGAGUGUCGAACGGGUGAGUAACACGUGAGUAACCUUCCCUUGACUUCGGGAUAACUUCAGGAAACUGGGGCUAAUACCGGAUAGGAAUCCUUGCUUCAUGGUGGGGGUUGGAAAGCUUCGGCGGUUUUGGAUGGACUCGCGGCUUAUCAGCUUGUUGGUGGGGUAGUGGCUUACCAAGGCUUUGACGGGUAGCCGGCCUGAGAGGGCGACCGGCCACAUUGGGACUGAGAUACGGCCCAGACUCCUACGGGAGGCAGAAGUGGGGAAGAUUGCACAAUGGGCGGAAGCCGGAUGCAGCAACGCCGCGUGCGGGAUGACGGCCUUCGGGUUGUAAACCGCUUUCAGCAGGGGCGAAGCUUGUGGUGACGGUACCUGCAGAAGAAGCACCGGCUAACUACGUG
rnacentral:rRNA from 1 species